ensembl:lncRNA
GUGGAAGGUGGAGCAGUCAAGAAAGUUGACCCCCAUGAGACCUCUGCUACAGAUGAGGCAUGGUACAUUCCACAUCAUGUUGUGAGCCACAACGGGAAGAAUCGUUUGGUCUUCAACUGUUCCUUCAAGUUCCAAGGUAUAAGUCUGAAUGACACACUCCUCCCCGGUCCUACGCUUGGCCCAUCACUCCUGGGAGUACUGUUGCGCUUCAGGGAACACGCGGUAGCGGUCAGCGGCGACAUUCGGGCCAUGUUCCAUCAGGUUCGACUCCUACUGGAGGAUAGGUCACUUCUUAGAUUCAUAUGGCGUGAUAUGAGACGUGAUGAGAGCCCUGAUGUCUACGAGUGGCAAGUUUUACCCUUUGGUACCGCCUGCUCACCGUGCUGUGCCACUUUCGCACUUCAGAUGCAUGCAAGAGAUAAUCCUGGACCAGAAGAGAUAGUGGCACAUUCAGUGGAACACUGCUUUUAUGUGGACAACUGUCUCCAGAGUGUGCCCACCACAGAUAAAGCCAAGGUGUUGGUUGACAGUCUCAGGUCAGUGUUAUCCUCUGGAGGGUUUGAGAUCAGGCAAUGGGCUUGCAAUAAGCCAGAAGUUCUUCAUCACCUCCCAACAGAAGCAAGGGCAGAUAGCAUGGAGGGAUGGCUCUCAAAGAACGAGUCUGGUAUGUCAGAACCGGUCCUCGGACUCAGUUGGCAAUGGGAGACAGACACCUUAGGCUACAAGAGCCGAACUCUACAGUACGAAGCGCUGACCAUGAGAAAUGUCUAUAAAGUGGUUGCCAGACAAUACGACCCCCUGGGAUUUAUAGCACCCUACACAACUCGCGCCAAGCUGAUUGUCCAAAGCAUGUGGGACAAACCGCGCGAUUGGGACGACCCCCUCUUACCCGCAGACUUGCAACGGGCAUGGAUGGAGUGGGAAUCAGAGUUGCCCUUGCUGUCAAGUAUUUCACUGCCCAGACCUUAUACUCCCACUCAUACCCAACAGGAGAUUGUCUCUCGGCAGAUUCACGUGUUUAGUGAUGCCUCCGAAAAAGCGUAUGGGUCAGUGUCUUACAUGAGGA